rnacentral:rRNA from 1 species
UACAGAGGAUGCAAGCGUUAUCCGGAAUGAUUGGGCGUAAAGCGUCUGUAGGUGGCUUUUUAAGUCCGCCGUCAAAUCCCAGGGCUCAACCCUGGACAGGCGGUGGAAACUACCAAGCUGGAGUACGGUAGGGGCAGAGGGAAUUUCCGGUGGAGCGGUGAAAUGCGUAGAGAUCCGGAGGAACCCCAGAGGCGAAGGCGGCGCCCUGGCUCGCAACUGACGCUCAGACACGACAGCAUGGGGAGCGAACGGG